CGGUGUAAACAGCCGCGGCGGGCAGGCCAGGACUGUCAGUGCCCGCCCCUCGGGGCAGGUAAUUUCAUGCUCCCAAAAUGGGACACAAAGUGGUUGUCUUCGACAUUUCUGUCAUCAGAGCCUUGUGGGAAACUCGUGUCAAGAAGCACAAAGCUUGGCAGAAGAAGGAGGCGGAAAGGCUUGAGAAGAGUGCCUUGGAGAAGUACGUGUUUUCUCAACCUAGUCUUGUAGCUUGUUUGGUGAAUAAGGAUUUGGACAGGCAACAGUUGCGUUGUGGAGGAGGAUGCUUUUCUUCUGGGAUUUCUCACUGUUGGUAACAUUGUCCUCAUUAAACUUCAGAGCCUUACACUGUUGCUCAGUACAAAUAUGCAGUUCCUAUGAUAGCAACACCCAUGGUUAUAAGGACCUACCUACCACCCUGGUGGUAGGCACGAGGAAGACCGAGAUGACACGAUAAAUCCCCCUACAGCAAAUGCUGUAGCAGGCUGCCUCGCUAGAGUUCACUGAGCUAACUCACUAGGCUAUCUGGCGCUCUGGAGACCAUCUGACUGCCAUCUGGGG
rnacentral:sRNA from 1 species